AUGUUGUCAUUCUUCCACCUACCGAAAGGGGUUCUCCAGAGACUAGAUUACUUUAGAUCCAGAUUUUUUUGGCAGUGCGAUAAUGAAUCCAAGAAAUAUAGAUUGGCUAGGUGGAGCAUAUUUUGCAGACCUAAAAGUCAAGGGGGGCUGGGAAUUCAAGACCUUGAGAUAAAAAAUAUUGCUCUUCUCAGCAAGUGGGUUUACAAACUACUCUCUGAGAAUGGGGUAUGGCAAGAGAUCAUUCGCAACAAGUAUGUGGGAUCAAAUGCCAUUUCUCAAGUUCAUUGGAAACCCUGGGAUUCACACUUUUGGAGUGGCGUGAUGAAGGCCAAGGAAUUCUUUUUCCAAUUUGGGACCUUCUCGGUUAGGGAUGGUUCUCAGGUUCGAUUCUGGGAAGACACCUGGCUAGGGAAUAACCCACUAAUGGUGCAAUAUCCGAACUUGUACAAGAUUGUCAGACAUAAAUUUGUCACGAUCAAACAAGUUUUAGGACAACAAAACCCUGAUAUUUCUUUCCGUAGGGACCUUCUUGGCCCUCGCCUGGCAGCAUGGAAUGAAUUAUUCACUCGUCUGGAGGACAUUCAACUGUCAGGUGAGCCGGACGUCUUUUGA
rnacentral:rRNA from 1 species